rnacentral:rRNA from 1 species
CCUACGGGUGGCAGCAGUAGGGAAUCUUCCACAAUGGGCGAAAGCCUGAUGGAGCAACGCCGCGUGGGUGAAGAAGGUCUUCGGAUCGUAAAACCCUGUUGUUAGAGAAGAAAGUGCGUGAGAGUAACUGUUCACGUUUCGACGGUAUCUAACCAGAAAGCCACGGCUAACUACGUGCCAGCAGCCGCGGUAAUACGUGGGUGGCAAGCGUUAUCCGGAUUGAGUGGGCGUAAAGGGAACGUAGGCGGUCGGUUAAGUCUGAUGUGAAAGCCUUCGGCUUAACCGGGGUAGUGCAUUGGAAACUGGGAGACUUGAGUGCAGGAGAGGAAAGUGGAACUCCAAGUGUAGCGGUGAAAUGCGUAGAUAUAAGGAAGAACACCAGUGGCGAAGGCGGCUCUCUGGUCUGUAACUGACGCUGAGGUUCGAAAGCGUGGGUAGCAAACAGGAUUAGAUACCCUGGUAGUC